CUCUUUGAACUGGAGUAUUUGACUUGGGAUUUGGUAUUUGGUAUGAAACUUCUUUCAUAUGUAAAGCAGAGAGCUACACAACCAGGACUGUUGAUAUUCCAGGAAAACAGAAAUGUUUUCCCCCAAGGAAAAGGAAAGCAGAAGCAAGUGGAGGUUAGCAAGAUGUAAGCACUGAGAGUGACCCCCUCAGAGCCUUGUGUACCCCACAUAUGUCUCAGAAGGAUCUCUGCAGCAGAGACAAGGAAAACAACCCUGAAAUCCCUGACUUCCCCUUUCUCCCUUGGAGCUGGGCGUGCCUCGUGACUCCAUUUGGACCAACAGGAUCUAAGACGGCCCAUGGAGACAUGAUUUCCAGGAACCCCCAUACAGGGAGAGGGGAACCCUUGAUGCCGUCCGCUCUCCCUGCCCCCACAGCCCGGGACCCAGAGCCUUGCUGGAGCUCCAGGAGCUGCCCUGAGGGCUGAGGAGCUGCUAUCCUUAGCCUGCUGCGACCUUUGAUGCUGCCGCUACUCCUCUCUACUUGCUUUGCACUUGGGCUCUCCCCACCUCGAGGCUUCCUCGCACAGUGGUUCCCAUGUGGCUCAGUUUCUGCACCCUCUGCUGACCCUCUGAGUCUCCAGGGACAGACCCCUAGGAGGAAAUCUGGUCGACGAAUGGACAGCCCUGUGCAAGAAGGUGGCCAUCUUCAAACCAGGAAGAGAAUUCUCACCAGAUGCUGAAUCUGCCGACACCUUGAUCUUGGGCUUCCAUCCUCCAGAACUAGGAAAGUCCAUGUGAGGACAGCAAGAAGGCAGCUGUCAGCAACCCAAAGAGAUCUCACCAGGAACCGACCCUGACUACACCUUGAUCUUGGACUUCCGGUGUUCAGAAUCUUCCCAGAGUAAGGAAUCUGGGAGCAACUCAGCUGGGUAGUUCUGUCUCAGCGUCUCAUGAAAUUUCAGUCAAGAUGUCCGCCAGGGCUACAGCCAUCUGAAGGCUUGACUGGGGCUGGAAGGUCAGCUGCCAAGGUCACUGACUUGGUUGUUAGCUGGAGGCCUCAGUACUCGCCACAGGCACCUCUCCACAGGGCUGAAUGUCUUCAUGAUGCAGCAGCUGGCUUCUUCCAGAGCGAGUGAUCCAAGAGAGAGCAAGCAAGGAGGAAGCCACAGUGCCUUUACUACCUAGUCUCCAGAGUCACACACGGCCACUUCUGCUACAUUCUACUCGUUCGCAGCAAGUCACUAAGGUGCCCACACCAAAGGAGAGGGCAUUCAAGCUCUGCAGUCAGAUGGGAAGAAUAGCAAGGAAC
rnacentral:lncRNA from 1 species